rnacentral:rRNA from 1 species
CUCAACUACGACGGCCUCCGCGCCGCCUUCCGUGGCUGCCGCGGCGUUUUUCACAUCGCCGCGCCUGUCUCCAACGACCCCGACCUCGUGCCGGUCGCCGUUGAGGGCACCAGGAAUGUGAUGAGAGCUGCGGCGGACGCUGGCGUGCAGCGCGUGGUGUUCACUUCGUCCUACGGCGCUGUGCACAUGGACCCCAACCGCAGCCCCGACGCCGUGCUCGACGAGACGUGCUGGAGCGACUACGACUACUGCAAAAACACAGGGAACAUGUACUGCUGCGCUAAGAUGAUGGCGGAGAUCACGGCGACGGAGGAGGCGGCCAAGAGGGGCCUAGAGCUGGCGGUGGUGGUGCCGUCUAUGACCAUGGGCCCCAUGCUGCAGCAGUCACUCAACUUCAGCAGCAGCCAUGUCGCCCGCAACCUCACCGGCGCCAAACCCACCUACCCUAACGCCGUCGCCACCUACACCGACGUCCGUGACGUCGCCCGAGCCCAUCUCCUCGUCUACGAGCACCCGGACGCACACGGCCGGUACCUCUGCAUCGGCGCCGUGCUGCACCGUGCACACUUCCUCCAACUCCUCAGCGACCUCUUCCCGCAGUACCACAUAACCGCCAAAAAAAAAAGAAAGAAU